rnacentral:rRNA from 1 species
CCAGACUCCUACGGGAGGCAGCAGUGAGGAAUAUUGGUCAAUGGGCGAGAGCCUGAACCAGCCAAGUCGCGUGAGGGAAGACGGUCCUAUGGAUUGUAAACCUCUUUUGCCGGGGAGCAAAAAGCGGUACGUGUACCGCAUCGAGAGUACCCGGAGAAAAAGCAUCGGCUAACUCCGUGCCAGCAGCCGCGGUAAUACGGAGGAUGCGAGCGUUAUCCGGAUUUAUUGGGUUUAAAGGGUGCGCAGGCGGCGAGUUAAGUCAGCGGUAAAAUUUCGGGGCUCAACCCCGUCGUGCCGUUGAAACUGACGCCCUUGAGUGAGUGAGAAGUAAGCGGAAUGCGUGGUGUAGCGGUGAAAUGCAUAGAUAUCACGCAGAACGCCGAUUGCGAAGGCAGCUUACCGGCGCUCAACUGACGCUGAGGCACGAAAGUGCGGGGAUCGAACAGGAUUAGAUACCCCAGUA